rnacentral:lncRNA from 1 species
CACUCUUCUCUCUCUUGCCACCAUGUGAAGAAGCUUUCUUUCUGCUUGGUCUUCCGCCAUGAUUAUAAGUUUCCUGAGGCCUCCCCAGCAAUGCAGAACUGUGUCAGCAUCACUGCUCUGCUAUCCUUUAAGAGGCAGAUUUCCUGGUCGUACAUGGUCUUUAGUGAUUUGCAGGAAGAAUUUCAACUCACUUCACUGCCAGUUGGUGCCCGUGUAACUGCAUAAAGGUGAAAUCUUUGAAAUGGGAAGAUGAUUAUGUCUUUAAAUGUAAAAGAUUACCCACAUCUUCAAUGACAGCUUAAGUGAAACACACCGCAUUCAAUAUAAUCUGGAAAACCCAGCUCUAGUUCACUGCAGAUGCGUACCAUCUCCUGUAAUUCUAAUUGCACAUCAGACUAAGUUUACCUGCAGGGAUCAAGAAGUAUGGCAAGGCCAAUAUAGCAACAACAUGGUGCUCAUCUGCUCUGGUGUACUAGGAUGAAAUAGCGUAUUGACCCUGAAUCUAUACUCUGAGUAAAAGCAAUUGUCAUUCUGCCACUGUAACACCUUGUUGCCAGUGGCGAUGUAAUUAAAGCUGUGAGGACUCAUUUUCCAUUCUUAUCUCUUAAGCUUCUCUGAAUCAGAAACUGUUUGUCUGUGGUAACUGAGAAAACCUACUACAAGGCUACAUGUUUAUGUAUGAAUUUUUGGUAGCUUUUCCUUUUUUAGGGGCUGAAGUUAUAUGCAUAAUUACCUACAUUCAUCCAAAUAAUGUGUAUAUACAAAUGUUGAUGUGUAUGUGUCUAUACGCAUAUGCAUGUGUAUACUGUGUGUAUAUUUAUAUUUAUGCACACAACCUCACAGAUACAGAUAUAUAUAUAAAUACACACACACACACGCACAGAGUCUAAAUUUUACUCACCCC